GGAUGUGAGGGUGAUCUGGCUUUUGCAUCUGUCAGCCCAUUGAUCGCCACGGUUGAUUCGGCCGAUCUGGCUGGCUGGGCAGGUGUCCCCUUCCACCCCACUGUUUCAUGUGUGCCGCUUCUUUGAAGAAAACAAUCUUUCCAGAUAAUUGGAGGACCAUUCUUCGGUCAAGGGUAUUAGCUAUGCACCCCUGCUAGAACCUCCGAACAAGCUCUCCAGUCCAUAUGCUCAUGAGAAAAUGUUAAUGUCAGAAGAACACAAGAACAAUGCAGGAUGCAAUGGGAGUCUG
rnacentral:snRNA from 1 species